AAAACCUGACGGAGACAACGACCGCGUGAGUGAUGACGGCCUUACGGGUGUGUAAAACUCUGUGAUCCGGGACGAAAAGGCAGAGUGCGAAGAACAAACUGCAUUGACGGUACCGGAAAAGCAAGCCACGGCUAACUACGUGCCAGCAGCCGCGGUAAUACGUAGGUGGCAAGCGUUGUCCGGAAUUACUGGGCGUAAAGCGCGCGCAGGCGGCUUCCCAAGUCCCUCUUAAAAGUGCGGGGCUUAACCCCGUGAUGGGAAGGAAACUGGGAAGCUGGAGUAUCGGAGAGGAAAGUGGAAUUCCUAGUGUAGCGGUGAAAUGCGUAGAGAUUAGGAAGAACACCGGUGGCGAAGGCGACUUUCUGGACGAAAACUGACGCUGAGGCGCGAAAGCGUGGGGAGCAAACAGGAUUAGAUACCCUGGUAGUCCACGCCGUAAACGAUGGAUACUAGGUGUAGGAGGUAUCGACCCCUCCUGUGCCGGAGUUAACGCCAUAAGUAUUCCGCCCUGGGAAGUACGAUCGCAAGAUUAAAACUCAAAGGGAAUUGACGGGGGGCCCGCACCAGCGGUGGGAGUAUGUGGGUUAAUUUCC
rnacentral:rRNA from 1 species